UGGGGAAUUUUGGACAAUGGGCGAAAGCCUGAUCCAGCAAUGCCGCGUGUGUGAAGAAGGCCUUCGGGUUGUAAAGCACUUUUGUCCGGAAAGAAAUCCUUGGCUCUAAUACAGUCGGGGGAUGACGGUACCGGAAGAAUAAGCACCGGCUAACUACGUGCCAGCAGCCGUGGUAAUACGUAGGGUGCAAGCGUUAAUCGGAAUUACUGGGCGUAAAGCGUGCGCAGGCGGUUUGCUAAGACCGAUGUGAAAUCCCCGGGCUCAACCUGGGAACUGCAUUGGUGACUGGCAGGCUAGAGUAUGGCAGAGGGGGGUAGAAUUCCACGUGUAGCAGUGAAAUGCGUAGAGAUGUGGAGGAAUACCGAUGGCGAAGGCAGCCCCCCUGGGCCAAAUACUGACGCUCAUGCACGAAAGCGUGGGGAGCAAACAGGAUUAGAUACCCUGGUAGUCCACGCCCUAAAACGAUGUCAACUAGUUGUUGGGGAUUCAUUUCCUUAGUAACGUAGCUAACGCGUGAAGUUGACCGCCUGGGGAGUACGGUCGCAAGAUUAAAACUCAAAUGAAUUGACGGGGUCAUAGCUGUUU
rnacentral:rRNA from 1 species